rnacentral:rRNA from 1 species
AGAGUUUGAUCCUGGCUCAGGAUGAACGCUGGCGGUCUGCUUAACACAUGCAAGUCGAACGGGCUCUUCGGAGCUAGUGGCGGACGGGUGAGUAACGCGUGAGGAUCUGCCCUUAGGACGGGGACAACAGCUGGAAACGGCUGCUAAUACCCGAUGUGCCGAGAGGUGAAACUAUUUGGCCUGAGGAUGAGCUCGCGUCUGAUUAGCUAGUUGGAGUGGUAACGGCACACCAAGGCGACGAUCAGUAGCUGGUCUGAGAGGAUGAUCAGCCACACUGGGACUGAGACACGGCCCAGACUCCUACGGGAGGCAGCAGUGGGGAAUUUUCCGCAAUGGGCGAAAGCCUGACGGAGCAAGACCGCGUGCGGGAGGAAGGUCUAUUGAUUGUAAACCGCUUUUGAUAGGGAAGAAGAUCUGACGGUACCUAUCGAAUCAGCAUCGGCUAACUCCGUGCCAGCAGCCGCGGUAAUACGGGGGAUGCAAGCGUUAUCCGGAAUUAUUGGGCGUAAAGCGUCCGUAGGUGGUUUUAAAAGUCUGUUGUCAAAUCGCGAGGCCUAACCUCGUACAGGCAGUGGAAACUAUAAGACUAGAGUGCGGUAGGGGUAGAGGGAAUUUCCAGUGUAGCGGUGAAAUGCGUAGAUAUUGGAAAGAACACCGGUGGCGAAGGCGCUCUACUGGGCCUGCACUGACACUGAGGGACGAAAGCUAGGGGAGCGAAAGGGAUUAGAUACCCCUGUAGU